rnacentral:rRNA from 1 species
CGGGUGAGUAACGCGUGGGUAACCUGCCUCACACUGGGGGAUAACAGUUAGAAAUAGCUGCUAAUACCGCAUAAGCGCACAGUGCUGCAUGGCACAGUGUGAAAAACUCCGGUGGUAUGAGAUGGACCCGCGUCUGAUUAGCUAGUUGGUGGGGUAACGGCCUACCAAGGCGACGAUCAGUAGCCGGCCUGAGAGGGUGAACGGCCACAUUGGGACUGAGACACGGCCCAAACUCCUACGGGAGGCAGCAUG